rnacentral:rRNA from 1 species
GUCUACGGACAUACCACCCUGAAAACACCCCAUCUUGUCUGAUCUCAGAAGCUAAGCAGGGUCAGGCCUGGUUAGUACUUGGAUGGGAGAAUACAGUAUAAAUACAUA